GAGGUGGGUGGAUCGCUUGAGCCUGGGAGGAAGAGGCUGCAGUGAGCUGUGGUCAUGCCACUGCACUCCAGCCUGAGUGACAGAGAAAGACCUUGUCUC
ensembl:miRNA